rnacentral:lncRNA from 1 species
GCCGCGCGGCCGGGGCGCGCAUGCGCGCACACGCCUGCCGAGGGUGGACUUCCGGCUGCGGCGCUCAAGGUGCCGGGCUGUCCCGAGCCCAGACGCGCGGAGGAGGGGCCGCCGCGAUUCCCGCGCAGGUUAAAGCCCUUGAAAGAAGCAUAACAUCCAGUCAUUUGGAGGGUGUGGUGGUUUGGUGCCAUAUGUACCCCCAGAGAAGUGUGUUCUUAAAGCUAAUCCGCUUCUGUGGCUGUAAGUAGGACCUUUUGAUGUUUUGUGGCCCACCUUAAUCAGGAUAGGUCUUAAUUCUAUUACUGGAGUCCUUUAUAAGAGAAUGGAAAUCAGACAGAGAGAAAGCCAUGGAAGCAAGAUGCGGAAGGUAAAGAACCUGGAAGAAAAGUGAGAGACCAGCAGAUGCUACCAUAUGCCUGGCCAUGUGGCAGAGGAGCCAAGGAUCACUGGCAGCCUGUCUUCAGGAAGACAGCUUCUCCUUAAUAAUGCUUGAUUUGGACAUUUUCUCAGCCUCAAAACUGUAAGCUAAUAAAUCCGCAUUGUCUAAGCCAACCCAUUUCAUGGUAUUUGAUGGACAAACCUAGGAAAGUAAAACCGAGUGAAAAGGUCAUCUGUGGGUGCAGAUGGCCCACAGACAAGUUGGUUUUUUUGGUGAGAUGGGGGAGAGUUGGCCCACAGAGUUUUUUUUAAAAGAUGAGGAUGUAUAAAUUUUUAAAAUCCACAUUUUUCCACUUCUGUAGAAAAAUCAGAUCUGGCAAGAUUGAGCCCAUAACCCUGUAUGUCACCAGUCAUCUAGAGCUGUCCCCGUUAGGUGGGACACACAGUCUUCACUUAGCUCACAUGACUCUUUUAUGUUACCUGCUUGAAUCCUCUAGGAGUUGAGGUUACAACUCCUAGUAUAGUGUAUUUAUUCUUAAACUCAAAAAGAGGUUCUAAAGCUUAAAUCACCAUCUUAACUUUUCCAGAAUUUCAAGCUAUUAAAAUCUUUCCAACACAGGCUAACAUAUCUUUUUCAUCAAAACAUAAUAACAGUGGCAUAAUCUAUAUAGUGCCUUAUUGCUUACAACACCCUUUAAUAGACUG